rnacentral:tRNA from 1 species
GGGCCCGUGAGGUAAUUGGAUAGCCUGCGGGGCUUCGGACCCCGUCGUCUGGGUUCGAAUCCCAGCGGGCCCA